AAACGACUCUCGGCAACGGAUAUCUCGGCUCUCGCAUCGAUGAAGAACGUAGCGAAAUGCGAUACUUGGUGUGAAUUGCAGAAUCCCGUGAACCAUCGAGUCUUUGAACGCAAGUUGCGCCCGACGCCUUCCGGCCGAGGGCACGCCUGCCUGGGCGUCACGA
rnacentral:rRNA from 1 species